UGAUCCUCCUGCCUCAGCCUCCCCAGUAGCUGGGACUACAGAAUGAGCCUGACAACCACUGAGGGAGACAGACAGAGACCACAUUCAGUUCAGAAAACCAUGGGUGCGGAGGUACAAUGAUGUAUCUUCAGUGUGCCUGUCAAGACCAUGGUGAUUGAAAUAUCUGUGACAAUAUCAGCAAAAAGUCAGUCCCUUGCUAUUUCACAAAGACCAUAAUCCCAGUGAUUACAAUUUUUUUUGUGUAACAAGAAGACAGUAAAACAAAAGGGGGAAAUACUCAAAGUGGGGCAAAAGGGAUUAGUAUUACAAAAGACUACACAGUGACUAGAAAAAACAUGAAAAGAUUUUGAAAGUUCUGCAUCGUGGGGUACACUACAAUCACUAGCUUUCUCUCUCAUAAAGUUUCCUGUUGUAUUGACUCUGUGCUUCCCCAGUGUCUGCUGGAAACCAGCAGAAAAAGUAGGGUUUCUCGAUACCAAUAGGUAAAUUCAAGCAGCCCACAUCUAGAUAGAACAACCAGUUGCUCAAUAGUGGUCAAAAGCAGAGUCAAAUGCAAAGUAAAAUUGCCUUCCUCCAACCGGCUAAGGACUGUGGUCCAGUAAUCCACCAGGGAGUCGGUGCCCAAGGCCAAGGUGGAGCAAGACCCUGAUAGGACAGCAGCACCCAUUCGGUGCCGUGGAGCAGUCAUAGGAUCAGAAGUUGGGAAUUUGGGACACAGCUCUGCCAGCAACUAGUGUCACUUUGGGCAAGUUCCUCAGUUUCUCCCUCUAUAGAAUGAAGACCUGGAACAGGACUAAGCUUAUAAGCUCCCUGUCAAGAUAAACUCCAAAGAAACUUAAUUCAACUACUUGUCCCUAAAACCCUUGAAGAACAGGAAUUGAUGCCUCAGUGACUCUCUCUGUUCCUGGGGCCGAGGGGAACCGGCUCUAACACCCUCAACUCCCUGGCCUCCUUUUUUGCCCCACACCACCUAGCAAAGGCCUCCUCGGUACUGAACCCAACUAUGUAUCAUCUCUGCGUCCCGACCCUGGCAGUUGAGAACCAUAGCGGGAGGAAGUGGCACACCUGAGAGACAAGGUCUUGCUCUGUCAC